GUUCUGAAUGUUUUCAGGGAGCUAUCUUUUCUGUUUCCUUCUCAGAGGACAACCCUUUUCUGCUCGCUAUUGGAGGCUCCAAGGGGAAAUUGGAACUAUGGGAUACAUUGUCUGAGGCCGAGGUUGCUAGAAGAUUUGGAACCACAGCAAGCUGAAAUCACCGCUGGCUUCAUUGAUCAAGAAGGUAAAAGAGCUAUGCUCCUCGUAAAAUUCGAGAGCUACAGCAAAAACAUGGGCCUUGUUAUGAGCUAAGAUUGAUUUGGUAGGUGAAAGACAUCGGUCCUGACAUGGCAAGCAUGUGUAUUUAAGUAGACUGUAGCGAGAGCUGGUGUAUUUAUACGAGAAUGAGUGGCAGUAGUGGUAGUCUCAUAGCUUUUCCAAUUUUGUGAGAUGGCAGAUGAGGUUUGGUUUCUUGUUUAUUUAUUUAUUUUGCUUUUUUGGCAUUAUGAUAUGUAAUUGUAAUGAAGACCAACGUUAAUUCAUGCGUGAGUGAGAAUCUUAAGAAAUGAAAGCAAAACAAAAGCUAGAUUCGACAGAA